GUCCACGCCGUAAACGAUGUCUGCUAGCCGUCGGGAUCCUUGAGGUCUCGGUGGCGCAGCUAACGCGAUAAGCAGACCGCCUGGGGAGUACGGCCGCAAGGUUAAAACUCAAAUGAAUUGACGGGGGGGCCCGCACAAGCGGUGGAGCAUGUGGUUUAAUUCGAUGCAACGCGAAGAACCUUACCAGGUCUUGACAUCCAGCGAACUGCCGAGAGAUCGGCGGGUGCCUUCGGGAGCGCUGAGACAGGUGCUGCAUGGCUGUCGU
rnacentral:rRNA from 1 species